rnacentral:rRNA from 1 species
AGUGAACGCUGGCGGCAGGCCUAACACAUGCAAGUCGAGCAGCAGCGGGUCCCCGCGAGGGGAUGCCGGCGAGCGGCGGACGGGUGAGGAACACAUCGGAAUCUGCCUGGUUGUGGGGGAUAACGUAGGGAAACUUACGCUAAUACCGCAUGCGACCCUGAGUCGACGGACUGGGGGUGAAAGUGAGGGACCUUCGGGCCUCACGCGACCAGAUGAGCCGAUGUCGGAUAGCUAGUUGGCGGGGUAACGGCCCGCCAAGGCGACGAUCCGUAGCUGGUCUGAGAGGAUGAUCAGCCACACUGGGACUGAGACACGGCCCAGACUCCUACGGGAGGCAGCAGUGGGGAAUCUUGGACAAUGGGCGCAAGCCUGAUCCAGCCAUGCCGCG